CUAACUCAAAUUUGUAUGGAGUUGGAAGAGCUUCCUUACGUUUGCCGCUAGGGGCGCUGUUCCAACUCCAUACAUACAAAUUUGGAUUA
rfam:Bombyx mori DNA, contig: Bm_scaf82_contig33080, strain: p50T/Dazao, build 2, whole genome shotgun sequence.